GUGUGUGUGUGUGUGUGUGUGGACCGUCACACAUGUUCUUUUAGCAGCAUCCUUGGGCUUUUAAUAAAGAUUUGGUUCAAUUCUUGAAUAUCUUAGUUCUAUACUAGUACUUAAAAUUAUAACACUUCAAUUCUUUUUGUGUACUGCGUAAUAGAUUGUGAAGUAAUGUUGAUCAGGUUAAAAUUGUGAAGUUGAUAUAAUGUUUACAGUUUUUAGAAGGGAAGUUGCUUGCUAUCAUAAAUCCAUCUUUCUAUUGUUCAUUCUUGAAGUUUCCUAUUGAGAGCUAAUGAGCUCAAAGUUUUUGAAAUAUGGUUAUAGAGCAUUUUAGUAUGGAAAUUUUAAAAAAGGGAGAAAAGAUGAGAAGUGACAGUUUGUCUAUGGUAGGAGUAGCUUCUGCAGAAUUGAAAUGCUAUUGGUUGUAUACAGAGUGCACAUGUGAUGUAUAACUAAUAUGUGGCAACAUUAACUAGUAGGUUGAAAGUGAAACGCUAUCAAGUUGAACAUUGAUUUUAUUGUUGGUUACAUUUCAUUUCUUUUUUAGAGUAAUGCUGGGGGGGUGGACUCAAAUAAUCCUGAACGCGGUCAUUUAUUGCUAAUGAUUUUUAUUUUAAAUCUGAUAAAAUAUUCUUUGACGUAUUAUUUUAUGUUUGACAUGACCAAAGUUAUGGCUUUCAGACAGUUAUGGAUGUGCUGUAAAUUUUUUCAUUGUUGUUGUUAUUAUUAUUAUU
rnacentral:misc_RNA from 1 species